UGAACGACUCUCGGCAACGGAUAUCUCGGCUCUUGCAUCGAUGAAGAACGUAGCGAAAUGCGAUACUUGGUGUGAAUUGCAAAAUCCCGUGAACCAUCGAGUCUUUGAACGCAAGUUGCGCCUGAAGCCAUUAGGCUGAAGGCACGUCUGCCUGGGCGUCACGC
rnacentral:rRNA from 1 species